rnacentral:misc_RNA from 1 species
CGUAGGUGAACCUGCGGAAGGAUCAUUAGUGAAUUGAAUAUGUUAGCGGACCUCUUCGGAGUCCCUAGCAUCAAAUCGUAUCCAUAACACCUGUGAACUGUAAGGCUGUCCUGAAAACGAAAGUGAUUAGAGCGCCUGCCCAUUUUAUACAAACAUUAAAGUAACAAACGUAGUCUUAUUAUAAUCUAAUAAAACUUUCAACAACGGAUCUCUUGGCUCUC